rnacentral:rRNA from 1 species
AGACGUAGGGGGCAAGCGUUGUCCGGAUCUACUGGGUGUAAAGGGCGCGUAGGCGGGAUAGCAAGUCAGAUGUGAAAUGCCAGGGCUUAACCCUGGAGCUGCAUUUGAAACUGCUGUUCUUGAGUAUCGGAGAGGCAGGCGGAAUUCCUAGUGUAGCGGUGAAAUGCGUAGAUAUUAGGAGGAACACCAGUGGCGAAGGCGGCCUGCUGGACGACAACUGACGCUGAUGCGCGAAAGCGUGGGGAGC